GUUGAAUACAGACAGGGAUGAGGCCCAAGACCCUAAGGAACAGUGCAGCCAGGAGUUGGAAGGAGCCUGGGUUUCUGAAUCAUCACAUGGAGGGGAGCUGUCUUCAACUGGGAGAGCUGUCUUCAGUUGGAUACUGGGAGGAAGAAAGAGAGCUGGUUAGGAAGCAAACUUCAGUUUUCCGUGCUCUGUGGCCAAGCAAGUCACUUCACCAUUCUCAGGAUGGAAGUGUGGAUGGAGGUGGCAUCAGCCUCAUUUGAACCCACAUGAACUAAGAGGGGCUAUGGGGAUAUUCCCCAAAGGAAGACUGAGGGGCAUUACUAGAAAAUGGGAGAAUGGAAGCAGA